rnacentral:rRNA from 1 species
AGAGUUUGAUCCUGGCUCAGAUUGAACGCUGGCGGCAGGCUUAACACAUGCAAGUCGAGCGGGGAAGGGUAGCUUGCUACCUGACCUAGCGGCGGACGGGUGAGUAAUGCUUAGGAAUCUGCCUAUUAGUGGGGGACAACAUUCCGAAAGGAAUGCUAAUACCGCAUACGCCCUACGGGGGAAAGCAGGGGAUCUUCGGACCUUGCGCUAAUAGAUGAGCCUAAGUCAGAUUAGCUAGUUGGUGGGGUAAAGGCCUACCAAGGCGACGAUCUGUAGCGGGUCUGAGAGGAUGAUCCGCCACACUGGGACUGAGACACGGCCCAGACUCCUACGGGAGGCAGCAGUGGGGAAUAUUGGACAAUGGGCGAAAGCCUGAUCCAGCCAUGCCGCGUGUGUGAAGAAGGCCUUUUGGUUGUAAAGCACUUUAAGCGAGGAGGAGGCUACUUGGAUUAAUACUCUAGGAUAGUGGACGUUACUCGCAGAAUAAGCACCGGCUAACUCUGUGCCAGCAGCCGCGGUAAUACAGAGGGUGCGAGCGUUAAUCGGAUUUACUGGGCGUAAAGCGUGCGUAGGCGGCUUCUUAAGUCGGAUGUGAAGUCCCUGAGCUUAACUUAGGAAUUGCAUUCGAUACUGGGAAGCUAGAGUAUGGGAGAGGAUGGUAGAAUUCCAGGUGUAGCGGUGAAAUGCGUAGAGAUCUGGAGGAAUACCGAUGGCGAAGGCAGCCAUCUGGCCUA